rnacentral:rRNA from 1 species
AUUGAACGCUGGCGGCAGGCCUAACACAUGCAAGUCGAACGAGUGGCGGACGGGUGAGUAAUGUCUGGGAAACUGCCCGAUGGAGGGGGAUAACUAAUGGAAACGGUAGCUAAUACCGCAUACCAUCGGAUGUGCCCAGAUGGGAUUAGCUAGGAGGUGGGGUAACGGCUCACCUAGGCGACGAUCCCUAGCUGGUCUGAGAGGAUGACCCCCCCCACUGGAACUGGGACACGGUCCAGACGCCUCCAAUACCACUCCUUUAAUAAUAUUGCACAAUGUGCGCAAGCCUGAUCCAGCCAUGCCGCGUGUAUGAAGAAUUCCUUCGGGUUUUAAAGUACUUUCAGCGAGGAGGCGUUACUCGCAGAAGAAGCACCGGCUAACUCCGUGCCAGCAGCCGCGGUAAUAC